rnacentral:tRNA from 1 species
GGGGUUGUGGCUCAACGGUAGAGCACUUGCCUGGCAUGUGUGAGGCCCUGGGUUCAAUCAUCAGCACCCCA